rnacentral:ncRNA from 2 species
AGCGCGCGCCGUGACUGGCGAACGUGGAAGCGACCACGAGGAAGCGGCGCGCGGUGCAGUCAUCACGAGGUGCCGCCCGCCUGGGCACCCCGG